GAUAAACGCUGGCGGCGCACAUAAGACAUGCAAGUCGAACGGAAGUCGUUAUAAAAUGGAUUGAAGAUUUAUCUGAUUGAAAUUUUAUAACAAUGGCCUUAGUGGCGGACGGGUGAGUAACGUGUGGGCAACCUGCCCUAUACUGGGGAAUAAUCACUGGAAACGGUGACUAAUACCGCAUGUCAUCACCGGAGGGCAUCCUCUGGUGAAAAAAGGAGCAAUUCGGUAUAGGAUGGGCCCGCAUCUGAUUAGCUAGUUGGUGAGAUAACAGCCCACCAAGGCGACGAUCAGUAGCCGACCUGAGAGGGUGAUCGGCCACAUUGGGACUGAGACACGGGCCCAA
rnacentral:rRNA from 1 species